GGAGAGAUGCGAGAGUGGCUGAAUCGGCGUGACUGGAAAUCACGUGCACGGGAAACCGUGCCGAGGGUUCGAAUCCCUCUCUCUCCGCCA
rnacentral:tRNA from 1 species